rnacentral:rRNA from 1 species
ACGCUCGACACCUACGGGAGGCNGCAGUGGGGAAUAUUGCACAAUGGGGGAAACCCUGAUGCAGCGACGCCGCGUGGAGGAAGAAGGUCUUCGGAUUGUAAACUCCUGUUGUUGGGGAAAAAGAGGAUGGUACCCAACAAGGAAGUGACGGCUAACUACGUGCCGACAGUCGCGGUAAUCUGAGCGGGCUGGCAAGGC